AGUGAACGCUGGCGGUAGGCCUAACACAUGCAAGUCGAACGGCAGCACAGUAAGAGCUUGCUCUUACGGGUGGCGAGUGGCGGACGGGUGAGGAAUACAUCGGAAUCUACUUUUUCGUGGGGGAUAACGUAGGGAAACUUACGCUAAUACCGCAUACGACCUACGGGUGAAAGCAGGGGAUCUUCGGACCUUGCUCGAUUGAAUGAGCCGAUGUCGGAUUAGCUAGUUGGCGGGGUAAAGGCACACCAAGGCGACGAUCCGUAGCUGGUCUGAGAGGAUGAUCAGACACACUGGAACUGAGACACGGUCCAGACUCCUACGGGAGGCAGCAGUGGGGAAUAUUGGAAAAUGGGCGCAAGCCUGAUCCAGCCAUACCGCGUGGGUGAAGAAGGCCUUCGGGUUGUAAAGCCCUUUUGUUGGGAAAGAAAAGCAGCAGGUUAAUACCCCGCUGUUCUGACGGUACCCAAAGAAUAAGCACCGGCUAACUUCGUG
rnacentral:rRNA from 1 species